rnacentral:rRNA from 1 species
UACGAAGGGGGCUAGCGUUGUUCGGAAUUACUGGGCGUAAAGCGCACGUAGGCGGACAUUUAAGUCAGGGGUGAAAUCCCAGAGCUCAACUCUGGAACUGCCUUUGAUACUGGGUGUCUUGAGUAUGGAAGAGGUGAGUGGAAUUCCGAGUGUAGAGGUGAAAUUCGUAGAUAUUCGGAGGAACACCAGUAGCGAAGGCGGCUCACUGGUCCAUUACUGACGCUGAGGUGCGAAAGCGUGGGGAGCAAACAGG